UGGCGACCGGCGCACGGGUGAGUAACGCGUAUGCAACUUACCUAUCAGAGGGGGAUAGCCCGGCGAAAGUCGGAUUAAUACCCCAUGAAACAGGGGUCCCGCAUGGGAAUAUUUGUUAAAGAUUCAUCGCUGAUAGAUAGGCAUGCGUUCCAUUAGGCAGUUGGCGGGGUAACGGCCCACCAAACCGACGAUGGAUAAGGGUUCUGAGAGGAAGGUCCCCCACAUUGGUACUGAGACACGGACCAA
rnacentral:rRNA from 1 species